rnacentral:rRNA from 1 species
GAUGAACGCUGGCGGCGUGCCUAAUACAUGCAAGUCGAGCGAACAGACGAGGAGCUUGCUCCUCUGACGUUAGCGGCGGACGGGUGAGUAACACGUGGAUAACCUACCUAUAAGACUGGGAUAACUUCGGGAAACCGGAGCUAAUACCGGAUAAUAUAUUGAACCGCAUGGUUCAAUAGUGAAAGACGGUUUUGCUGUCACUUAUAGAUGGAUCCGCGCCGCAUUAGCUAGUUGGUAAGGUAACGGCUUACCAAGGCAACGAUGCGUAGCCGACCUGAGAGGGUGUUCGGCCACACUGGAACUGAGACACGGUCAAGACUCCUACGGGAGGCAGAAGUAGGGAAUCUUCCGCAAUGGGCGAAAGCCUGACGGAGCAACGCGGGGUGAGUGAUGAAGGUCUUCGGAUCGUAAAACCCUGUUAUUAGGAAAGAACAAAUGUGUAAGUAACUAUGACAGUCUUGACGGUACCUAACAAGAAAGCCCCGGUUAACUACGG